GAUCUUUUUUUCAUUAUGUAGUGUGUAAAACGUUCAUUGUGGGCAUUACCUUGUCUUUUUAUAGUUGUGUAGAGACCCAUCAUAGAGCAAGCCUCUGAAAAUCUUCCCACAUUGUGCCAGAUGAGAAUCACAAACCCCCCAAUUCCUUAUUUGUAAUGAAAUGAGCGUCAUUUGUACACAAGAUUAAUAAUUAUAAGUCAUAAUCGUUUUAAGGCUUGCCUGUAUAUCAAUUUCUUAUCUUUUUCUAACAUUUUUGGGAUUUGGGUGACUUAACGAGGAAAAACGACAUGCAGACUAAUUUUCCGGAUUUUUUUAAAGACGCUGGCUGUGGGUUUUUUAAUUACUUUCACUAUAAAAUCGGCAAUGCAUUCCACCUGUAGUGGCAAUUGGGGGAAAUUUCUGAUAACGGGUACAACGCUGUCGGUAUCUGAAAUUAGUGGUAAAAGUUACAAAUUGAUUCUUUUCUUCUUCUGACCAUGAAAAAUUUCUCAUGGGAAGGCUCUUUAUAUAGGUAAGCUCUAAAAAAGUACCACUAGCGAUGAAAAAAAAGACGUGCAGAUUAAUUUUCCUCUUUUUUUUUUUAAAGACGGCGGCUGGCGCAUUCACGAUUUUCUUUUUAAUAAUUUAAUGAUAAAAUCGGCAAUGCGGUGCCCUAAAAUGAAAUGCGCACGGGCCUGAGAAUCAAGUAAUCAAAUUUUUCUGGCCUGAUGGUUUCUUACAAUGUUUCAUCAAAAAAUGAGUGUUUAUAAGUACAUUUCACCUGUAAUGGCAAUUCCGGGGAAAUUUCUGAUAACGGGUACAACGCUGUUGGUAUCCGGAAUUCGUGGUAAAAGUUACAAUUUGAUUCAUUUCUUCUUCUGACCAUUAAAAUAAGCGCACGGGCCUGAAAACCAAGUAUUUUUUUUUGGCCUGAUGGUUUCUGACAAUGAAACAUUAAAAAAUGAGUUUUUAUAAGUACAUUUCACCUCUAGUGGCAAUUCGGGGGAAAUUUCUGAUAACAGGUACAAAGCUGUCGGUAUCUGAAAUUUGUGGUUAAAGUUACAAAUUGUUCCUUUUCUUCUUCUGACCUUGAGAAUUUCUCAUGGGAAGGCUCUUUAUAACAUCAAAAAAAGUUUAAAAAAAAUUAGACCACUGAUUUUCAGGUAUGUUUGCCCUGUAUAUUAAUGAUUUAAAUAUAUUCAAUAUGAAGUGAAUACAAUCAUGCACGGUAAAAAGAAAAAUAAAUAAAUACGUGAAUAAACGAAGAAAAAUUUAAGUUACAUAGAUUGCUUUGAAUAAGUUAGAUUUUCCAUUACCUUAAAAGUGAACUUGAUAAAUAACUAAGUGACUUGCGUAAGUAACGUUACAAAAGGCAGAUGGAUUCUGAUUGGGUGAUGGUUUUUGACAAUGUUUCAUUAAAGAAUGAGUGUUGAUCAGAAAAUUUGACUUGUUGUGGCAAUUCAGGACAAUAAAAAAAACCCAGCAAUACUGCUAGUAUCCAACAUUUUCAAAAAUUACAAAUUUUUCUUUUUCUUUCUCUGUCUAUGAAAAUGGUUCUUUAUAAGCUCCAAUUAUUUUUUUUGAUAUUUUCUUCAUAAACAUUGCAAGCGUUGAAGCUCGGUUCAUAAAAUAUUAUGAUAUUAUCUUUGGUGAAAGUGUUUCCAAACAAUGCCUUUUCAAUCCAUGCUUCAUUACAAACGGUAAUUAUGAUAAAAUUGGUCUCUGUUUGUUCAUCACAAGAGUGUAUGAAUUACAGAUCUGAUCCUUAUAAUCCGCUCCUUCACAUCUCCAAUUGAUGCUCAAUUUUCUCUCCAAAAUAUGGUCAAGAAAACGAAAAAAGUCUUAAAUGCUAUGAAGUUGUAGAGAUUGUCCACCUUGUUUUCAUUUCUUUGACACUGAAAGUGUCCAAUGGGCAGUUGUUGUUAGGAGCUUUUCUUAAGUGACAUUUGUCGCUUUUAAAAGUGACUUCCAAAAAAGCAAGUAUCAUCUUUACGUUGGAUAUAUUUUGUAAGGUUUCUUGACACAUUACGCUCCCUCCCUUUACCACACAAAACGGUCUGACCGUGUCGGGUGAUGGUGAUGAAUUUUAAGUAUAGCAAAAAAAAAGAGUACUUUAACACCCUCCGACAGGAGGAAUAAAGCGCAUUCUUCCAUCUUUCUGAUAUUUGACUGUGUGACCUUUUUUCACCCUCCGACAGGAGGAAUAAAGUACAUUCUUCAUCAUUCUUGCUCUCAGUUAUCAGAUAUAAAGCGCAUUCUUUUGAAAUAGGCACAUGCUCUAUUCAACAACGCAAGCUUUAUCACAUAAACGAUUGUUGAUAAAAGUUUCGUAACACAUUCACACUUCCUCCAUCUACCACACAAAACUGUGACUGUUGGGUUGAUCAUUGCGUCUUACAAGCUUAAAGAAAACAUACUAAACAUGUGGUUCUUUUAAAUUUAAAAAAAAAAAAAA